AAUGCCCCUUGAGGCGUUGCAGCCCAACUGUGGUGUUGCAGCUGUGUCACGAGGCGGCAGAGAGAGACCGGUGGUGGUCUGCACUGAGACA